CAUACAAUUUGUCAGUUAUUUGUGAAACUCGAAGAAGUAACAAGCUUACAAGCAAUGAAAUACGGGUGGAUAAUAUUUGUGCUAUUUCAACUCGUUAUAUUGCUGUCGAUGCAACCGAGGGAAGCAAGUGGCGAAUGUUGUCCGGGUAUAGGUAUUUGGUGUCUGGAUCUCACAGUAAAGACGCCCUGCUGUGGGUUAAAACCAUGCAAUAUUUUUUGCUGCGAUUGCGGCAAAUGUAGACGGGGAAUAUUGUCCCGGAAUAGCCAUGGUGAACAUUCUCAAAGAAGUUCCGGUCGUCAUGAUCAUCAUCAUACCCAUAGUCGUGAUCAUCACCACAAACACAAAGGAAAACAUUCCGAUUCCUGCAAGUACACAAUUCUCGCCAUGUGGACAUCAAAGGAAUAAGCUUUUUAUAAACAAUUCAUCUAAUACUGAGAAUUAAAUUGCUCUUAUUGAAGUUAAUGGCAUGAAAAAUCCUAAGACUAUUUUCUUCUUCGAAACCGAUAGCCAGAGUAUAUUCUGGGUUAGUCGCGGGUGCAAAGAUUGCAAACCUAGAAAACCUAGAUCACAGAGAAUAUCUAUUGUCCUUAUGGUCCGAUUCCUGCAAGUACACAAUUCUCGCCAUGUGGACAUCAAAGGAAUAAGCUUUUUAUAAACAAUUCAUCUAAUACUGAGAAUUAAAUUGCUCUUAUUGAAGUUGAGUUAUAUUGAUAUACGAAAUAUCUUUUGUGUGUUUUUGGACUAAUCCAUAAUAAUAAUAAUAUAUUCAUGAAAAUUUUCCGGGUAUUCGAUGGUUUUCUCUAUAUUCUAAUCUUCAAGCGUGCAACUAUCACUUUUUUUUGCAAUUUGUAUUAUAGGAAUGCGAGUUCGGUUAUUUAACCGAAAGUAUGGUGACUAAUUGCAUAAUAUGAUUAUACAUUUGAAACACUUAAUCGAACUUUCUACAGCAUUGCGCCUCAUACAAUUUGUCAGUUAUUUGUGAAACUCGAAGAAGUAACAAGCUUACAAGCAAUGAAAUACGGGUGGAUAAUAUUUGUGCUAUUUCAACUCGUUCUAUUGCUCUCGAUGCAACCGAGGGAAGCAAGUGGCGACUGUUGUAGUGGUGAUGAUGGUGUGUGUGAGGACUACUCAUGGGCCACGCCCUGCUGUGGAAAAGGACCUUGCAAUAUAUUUUGCUGCAAUUGCAAAUGCAGACGACGAAGGAGGCCCCGGAAUAGCCAUGGAGAAGAUUCUCAAAGGAGUUCCCGUCGUCAUGAUCAUCAUCAUACCCAUGAUCGUGAUCGUCACCACAAACACAAAGGAAGAAAACAUUCCGAUUCCUGCAAGUACACAAUUCUCGCCAUGUGGACAUCAAAGGAAUAAGCUUUUUAUAAUGAAUUCAUCUAAUACUGAGAAAUAAAUUGCUCUUAUUGAAGUUGAGUUAUAUUGAUAUACGAAAUAUCUUUUGUGUGUUUUAGGACUAAUCCAUAAUAAUAAUAAUAU